rnacentral:snoRNA from 1 species
CUGGAUAAGAUGAGACCCAGUGUGCAGUGGUUGCAAACAGCAGCCUCCUUGGUAGCAUACGCAGCCUGUUACCUGUAUGGGUUGCCCUAAGGGACCUUGCAGACAGUG